rnacentral:piRNA from 1 species
UACAGAGGUACGUGGUCCACGGCUCUUAA